rnacentral:ribozyme from 13 species
UUAAUGCACAAAAUAAGGUAGAGAAAGAGAGAGAUAUAUACAAUAGAUGAACUCCACUUAUUUGUUCUCAAAUGCGUUUAAUUUAUCUCUUUACUCUUUCUUUUUUCUCUGU